rnacentral:rRNA from 1 species
AGCGAACGUUUGCGGCGGGCCUAACACAUGCAAGUCGAACGCACUAGCAAUAGUGAGUGGCGCACGGGUGCGUAACACGUGGGUAAUCAACCCUUCAGCUUGGGAUAACGACUUGAAAGGGUCGCUAAUACCGGAUACGGCGCGAGAGGCUUCGGCUUCUCACGAGAAAGCCUCGCAAGGGGCACUGAAGGACGAGCCUGCGGCCCAUCAGCUAGUUGGUGAGGUAAGAGCUCACCAAGGCUAAGACGGGUAGCUGGUCUGAGAGGAUGAUCAGCCACACUGGAACUGAGACACGGUCCAGACUCCUACGGGAGGCAGCAGUGGGGAAUAUUGCGCAAUGGGCGAAAGCCUGACGCAGCCACGCCGCGUGAGCGAAGAAGCCCCUUGGGGUGUAAAGCUCUGUCAGCUGGAACGAAAAAAUGACGGUACCAGCAGAGGAAGCAUCGGCUAACUACGUGCCAGCAGCCGCGGUAAUGUAGUCG